CCUACGGGGGGCAGCAGUGGGGAAUAUUGGACAAUGGGCGAAAGCCUGAUCCAGCCAUGCCGCGUGUGUGAAGAAGGCCUUCGGGUUGUAAAGCACUUUCAGUGGGGAAGAAAGCCUUGGGGCUAAUACCCUCGAGGAAGGACAUCACCCACAGAAGAAGCACCGGCUAACUCCGUGCCAGCAGCCGCGGUAAUACGGAGGGUGCGAGCGUUAAUCGGAAUUACUGGGGUAAAGCGCGCGUAGGCGGUCUGAUAAGCCGGUUGUGAAAGCCCCGGGCUCAACCUGGGAACGGCAUCCGGAACUGUCAGGCUAGAGUGCAGGAGAGGAAGGUAGAAUUCCCGGUGUAGCGGUGAAAUGCGUAGAGAUCGGGAGGAAUACCAGUGGCGAAGGCGGCCUUCUGGACUGACACUGACGCUGAGGUGCGAAAGCGUGGGUAGCAAACAGGAUUAGAUACCCGAGUAGUC
rnacentral:rRNA from 1 species